ACCAGCAAAACCGAAGCUAUUGGAAAACCUUCCUGUGUGCCAAAGCGAGAGAGCAUGUCUUCUUUCUCUAGAUUUUGGACGGCACAACGCCGAUCGUGUGGCCUAUGAACGAAAAACGGGAGAAGGGGAAACCGAUAUCCUUCGAGUGACACACACGCAUGCAUCUGCAUGCGUAUUCCGCUGAACCGAGACUACACAUCUCUCUCGAUCUCCCAUGAUUUUUCUGCUAUCGCGCUCAUCUGGGUGUUAGGCAUCCUCAGUCUGUCCAGAACUUUCACUUUGAUGUGUUGGAGUGAUGUGUGAUUUCUUGUGCCCCGUACUUUGCUCGUUUACGUUUUGUGCCGUGUUCCUUCUUCUUCAAUUAUGAAAUGAUUUAUCCUUGUAAAUUUCUAAGUUACAGUGCACGCGCAUGUUAAUCGACGGUUGCCAACAUCCCGCAAAACGAUCGACGGAAGGAAAACGGUGUCCGGUUUUAAAAUAUAAAGAUAUCAUCACAGCUCUUUCGUAGAAGAGCGCACUUCAAGGAUGCAUAGGAUACGGCUAAACAUGCGCAGCACCAGUCCGUGACGUCAUUUCCAGACAGGCGCCGGCUGAACACGCGCAGCACCAGUCGAGGAUAUCCUAGCGCAGAGGGUAGAAGGAAGAACGAGAGGAAGGGUAACAGAAAGCAACCGCAGCAUUUGGAAGGGGUGAAGCAUCCUGCCGUAUACAGAGUGUGAGUGUACCAAAACGCAUGUGGAAAGAGUAACACCAAUAAAUAGCAUGCGAAAGUGUGCAUAAAGCAAAAAGAAAAAGCGUCACUACUACAACCAGCAAUCCGAAAAUAUAAGGGGAGGGAUAAAUACAAAUGUAUGCGUAAGCAGGACCAGCAAUCCAAGCAUUUGAAUGUGUGCGUCGGUUUGCGCCGUGCUGAAAGUUUUUACUUUAGCUGCUGCUAGUGUAAAAACUUAAGGAAAGCUUAAAGUAAAAAUUUUUUACACGGGGCACCUUCGGAAAUUGUUGGCUGGGUUGAUGCGUUGUCUAUGCGGCUUGCUCGGUAUCACAGCGGCAUACGACAGGUAAGCAGUACAAAGGCUGCUACCU